rnacentral:tRNA from 1 species
GCUCCGGUCGUCUACUGGUUGUGGAUACUCGGUUCUCACCCGAGAGGUCAGGGUUCAAUCCCCUGUCGGAGUAC